AACGAACGCUGGCGGCAUGCCUAACACAUGCAAGUCGAACGAGACCUUCGGGUCUAGUGGCGCACGGGUGCGUAACGCGUGGGAACCUGCCCUUAGGUUCGGAAUAACUCCCCGAAAGGGGUGCUAAUACCGGAUAAUGUCUUCGGACCAAAGAUUUAUCGCCUUUGGAUGGGCCCGCGUUGGAUUAGCUAGUUGGUAGGGUAAAAGCCUACCAAGGCGACGAUCCAUAGCUGGUCUGAGAGGAUGAUCAGCCACACUGGGACUGGGACACGGCCCAGACUCCGACGGGAGGCAGCAGUGGGGAAUAUUGGACAGGGGGCGAAAGCCUGAACCAGCAAUGCCGGGUGAGGGAUGAAGGCCUUAGGGUUGAAAAGCUCUUUUACCCGGGAUGAUAAUGACAGAACGGGGAGAAAAAGCCCCGGCUAACCCCG
rnacentral:rRNA from 1 species